rnacentral:tRNA from 1 species
GUCCCCGUGGUGCAAAUGGUUAACGCACUUGUCUGCUAACCAAAAGGUUGGAGGUUCGAGUCCACCCAGAGAUG